AUACGUAGGGGGCGAGCGUUGUCCGGAAUGAUUUGGCGUAAAGGGCGCGUAGGCGGCCCGGUAAGUCUGGAGUGAAAGUCCUGUUUUUAAGAUGGGAAUUGCUUUGGAUACUGUCGGGCUUGAGUGCAGGAGAGGUAAGUGGAAUUCCCAGUGUAGCGGUGAAAUGCGUAGAGAUUGGGAGGAACACCAGUGGCGAAGGCGACUUACUGGACUGUAACUGACGCUGAGGCGCGAAAGUGUGGGGAGCAAACAGGAUUAGAUACCCUGGUAGUCCACACUGUAAACGAUGAAUGCUAGGUGUAGGGGGUAUCGACCCCUUCUGUGCCGCAGUCAACACAAUAAGCAUUCCGCCUGGGGAGUACGGCCGCAAGGUUGAAACUCAAAUGAAUUGACGGGG
rnacentral:rRNA from 1 species